rnacentral:lncRNA from 1 species
GCCUGUUGCUGCUGCUGCUCUUCUGCUCAUGCCGCUACUUGCUGCUCUUGCUCUCCUGCUACUCUGCGCUGCUGCUUGUCUAGCCGCUGCUCACGGCCGCUCCUGGCCACUCUGCUGCGGUCGCUCACUACUACGGCUGGCCAGGUACAUGGCCGUGCGUGGUGUGUGUGUGCUGUGUGUGUUCGUGUUUGCCAUGGCCGAGCGCCCCGUGCAAGUGUGGCGUGUGAUGUGUGUGGGUGAGUGUGUGCGUUGUGUGUGUUCUGUAGGUGUGUGUGAUGUGUGUACAGCGUGUGUGUGUGGCCGUGUGUGGGGCUGCCCCAAAUUAGUUUAGGUCUAAUUUAAUUAGAUAAAUUAAUUUUAGGAUUUUUUUUGCUGUUUAGCUAGUACUAGUAUUUAAUUAGUAGUAAUAGAUGACAUGCAGGUCCUCAUUUAGAUAAGUUAGGUCUAUUUAUUUGUUUACGAAAAUACUAUAUGACAUGUGGGCCACACAUCCCCUUUUAACUAGUCAAAUUGACUUGGUCAAUUCGCAUUAAACUAAAUAUAAUAAAUCCAGAAAUUUCAGAAAAUACUUAAAACUUUGGAAAAUCAUAGAAAAUUAAUCGUAACUACGAUGAAAAAACUUUGUACAUGAAAGUUGCUCAGAACAACGAGACGAUUCCGGAUACGUAGCCCGUUCAUCCACCGCACACCCCUAGCAUAGCAAACACGCAACUUUUCCCCUCUGAUUCAUCUGUCCGAAAACGCGAAACAUCGAGAAUACUUUCCCGGAUGUUUCCCCGCUUCACCGGUACCACCUCGUACUGCGUUAUGGCACCCUAGCACCGAUACUUGUCAUGUCAUGCAUCACUAGGCAUCUGUUUGCUUAAUAUUUAUUGUUUCUUCCCCCUCUUCUCUCGCUAGACAUCGAGACCGACGCCGCUGCUACCCAGUUCGACUACGGCGUUGACGACCCCUCUCUCUUGCCAGAGCAACCACGCAAGCCCCCCCUUGAUCACCAGAUAUCGCCUCCUCUUCUCUAUACUGCUUGCAUUAGAGUAGUGUAGCAUGUUACUGCUUCCCGUUAAUCCUAUUCUGAUGCAUAGCCUGUCAUUGUUGCUACAACUGUUGAUACCUUACCUGCAAUCCUAAUGCUUAGUAUAUGAUGCUAGUUUGCCAUCAGUGGCCCUGCAUUCUUGUCCGUCUGCCAUGCUAUACUAUCGGGUCGUGACCACUCGGGAGGUGGUCACGGGUAUAUACUUAUAUACAUAAUAUAUGAUAUUUGUGGUGACUAAAGACGGGUCGGCUCAUAGGGGUACCGCGAGUGAUUCACGGAUUGCAUCCGAAAGGACGUUUGUCCCGAUGACCCUCUAGGUGGAUCUUUGUGGCGGAGCGACAUGGUAGGUUGAGACCACCUAGGAGAGAGUUGGGCCUGGCCCUGGUCGGUGUUCGCGGUUAUUUCAAGAUAACACGUUUACUGAGAUCUUGGUAUUUGAUCUGAGUCUGGCCACUGGCCUAUACGCAGUAACCAUCUACGCGGGGACAGUUAUGGGCACUCGACGUCGUGGUAUCAGCCGAAGCCUUCGUGACGUCAGCGACUGAGCGGCGCGCGCCGGAUUGGACUGGAACGCCUGCUAGGCUAGGUCUGCUUCUGGCCGCCCUCGCAACAUGCAGGUGUGCAAUGGGCGAUGGGCCCAGACCCCUGCGCCAUAGGAUUUAGACCGGCGUGCUAACCUCUCUGUUGUGCCUAGGUAGGGCUGCGACGUGUUGAUCUUCCAAGGCCGGACAUGACCCAGGAAAGUGUGUCCGGCCAAAUGGGAUCGAGCGUGUUGGGUUAUGUGGUGCACCCCUGCAGGGAAGUUAAUCUAUUCGAAUAGCCGUGAUUUUCGGUAACAGGACGACUUGGAGUUUUACCUUGACCUUAUGACAACUAGAACCGGAUACUUAAUAAAACACAGCCUUCCAAAUGCCAGAUACAACCGGUGAUCGCUCUCUCACAGGGCGACGAGGGGAGGCUCAUCGGUUAGGAUUAUGCUACACGAUGCUACUUGGUGAACUUAGCAUCUACUCUCUUCUCUUGCUGCAAGAUGGAGGUUACCAGAAGCGUAGUCUUCGAUAAGACUAGCUAUCCUCCUUUUAUUUCGGCAUUCUGCAGUUCAGUCCACCUAUGAUACCCUUAUUCCAUUUGAUACCAAUGCAUACAUAUGUAGUGUAGCUCCUUGCUUGCGAGUACUUUGGAUGAGUACUCACGGUUGCUUUGCUCCCUCUUUUCCCCCUUUCUAUACUCGAUUGCUGCGACCAGACGUUGGAGCCCAGGAGCCAGACGCCACUAUCGAUGAUGACUACUACUACUCGGGAGGUGCCUACUACUACGUGCAGCCCGCUGACGGCGACCAGGAGUAGUUUAGGAGGAUCCCAGGCAGGAGGCCUGCGCCUCUAUCGAUCUUUAUCCCAGUUUGUGCUAGCCUUCUUAAGGCAAACUUGUAUAACUUAUGUCUGUACUCAGAUAUUGUUGCUUCCACUGACUCGUCUAUGAUCGAGCUCUUGUAUUCGAGCCCUCGAGGCCCCUGGCUUGUAAUAUAAUGCUUGUAUGACUUAUUUUAUUUGUAGAGUUGUGUUGUGAUAUCUUUCCGUGAGUCCAUGAUCUUGAUCAUACACGUUUGCGUGUAUGAUUAGUGUACGGUCGAAUCGGGGGCGUCACAAGUUGGUAUCAGAGCUGACUGCCUGUAGGAAUCCCCCUUCCACACUCCUUGGCCGAAGUCGUGUCUAGACUUUGCAAAACUUUUACUAACAUGGCUGUGCGGCCCAUGAGCCCACGUCGCCAUUGGGUGGUAUUAGGAUCUUUUACUCCUCGUCUAUACUCUGGGAUUCUGAUCUCUCUUCUAUUCGGAUUAAAUGAUUUUGCUAACUCUAACUCUAGGUUCUCGUAACUACUCCCACCCGGAGAGCCCCUUACUCCAGAUGAUUGCUUAGUGCCCCAGAAGAUUUCGAAGAUACUCUUCGAUGUUCUCUCUGGGCCUUGUGCCCGUCGCUUUUGCAAUUCACUUCGAUCGAUAGACCCCUAUGGAUGACCACGUACAUUUGUCAUUCUUACAAUCAUCCCCCGAUGAUCUUAUUAUUACCAGAUACCCUGAAAUACUCUCUAUUGUUUCGAGAAAACUUGGUGCCUACCGACUUGCAGUUCUUUGUCACGUGAAUACCCUUACGGAUAAAUCCUCACACUUAUCGAGUAUCCGCUCAUUCCCAGUUGUUCAUAUGUUUCACAAAAGUCUUCGAAAAUACCAUUCAAUCCUCUGGAAAUCCUAAGCAGCCUAUUGCUCUUGAAAUUCUUGUUUGCUUGCAUUAUGGCUAAUCCCAUAAGUCUCGUAAUCUUAUUGGAAUCCCUUGCCACUAUCAUUUUGAGCCCAUUGAUUCAAUGAGUGCGAAUGCUCGCAAUCCUCAACCAGAUCCUAGGAUUCAUCCUUCCGGCUCAGACGCCAUUUUAAACAUGAGUUGGUUCUCGAGCAAUCAAAUUGCCGUCGGUUGUACCCCUAAGUCUGUUCAACUUAUCCAUUCUUAAUCAGAGCGUCUCCUUCUGAUCCUUCGUUUUGGAAAUCAUAAUUCCUUUGUUAUCUAAGCAUCAAAUUAUUCGGGUGUUUUAUAAUCAGAUGCAUUUGCAUUGUUUCUUUAUCUGAUUGUGUGUCGAUGCUCACAUCAACUUUGAUAUGGACCGUCAGAUCCUUUGUUGGAUUAUUAUUUGACAGUGUCCUUCAUUUUUUACCGCCUUGUGAAUCCUCCCUGAUACAUAAUGCCUUUGGCAAUUGGUAUCAUCUCCUUUGUCAACCAUGCUCUACUUCCAAGCUUGAGUUAUUUGCUCGAAGUUUGUGGUAUAUGUUCCUAAGAUGCCCCUAUGGGUUGAACCUAUACCUUCUCUAAAACUAUGUGAACCCAAAAGAUUUCACGGGUCAUACUUAUCUGGUAUUGCACUAGGUAAAAACUUUCAACAAGUAAUGUCAUUUUUGAAAUACGAGAGGUGAAUGAAACGUUAUGCGUUGAACAAGUGGGAGUCGACCUUGAACCCUGUGUUCAUGCCCAUGGACACGAUGUAGAUCUUAUCAUUAAAUGUAACGCCCCGGAUAUAACUUUCCCAAUUUGUACUCCAACUCUUGCCGUUUCCGGCGUUAAGUUAUAUUUAUUUCUCGGGUUCGGGUCUUUGUCUCCGUGUGUUGUUUUCAUUGUCAUGCAUCUCAUAUCAUGUCAUCAUGUGUAUUGCAUUUGCAUACGUGUUCAUCUCAUGCAUUCGAGCUUUUUCCCCGUUGUUCGUUUUGCGUUCCGGUGCUUCGUUCUCCUCCGGUGGUCAUUUCUAGCUUUCUUUCGUGUGUGGAGAUUAAACAUUUCCGGAUUGGGCCGAGACUUGCCAUCCGGCCUUGGUUUACUACCGGUAGACCGCCUGUCAAGUUUCGUAUCAUUUGGACUUUGUUUGAUACUCCAACGGUUAACCGAGGGAGCGAAAAGGCCUCGUGUGUGCUGCAGCCCAACACCCCUCCAAUUUGGCCCAAAACCCACCAAACUCUGCUCCAUCACCUAGAGCAUUCGAUCACGAUCGCGUGGCCGAAAACCGAACCUUAUUUGGACUCUCCUAGCUCCACUUAUGCCUAUAAAUAGCUCCCCGUUUUUCGGAUCUCUCUCCCUCUCCGAAACCCUAAAAAAACAGAUCUCCAGCCGCCGGACAUGUCCGGAGCUUAGCCGGACACGUCCGCCGUGCCCCCUCGCCCACUCCGCUGCCGCCGCCGGCCCGGGAGGCCCAGGAGGGGCCCCCGCGAGCCCGUCUCUCCGCCGCGCGCCCCCGCGCCUUCGUCCCCAACACCGAGCGCCAGCCGCCNNNNNNNNNNNNNNNNNNNNNNNNNNNNNNNNNNNNNNNNNNNNNNNNNNNNNNNNNNNNNNNNNNNNNNNNNNNNNNNNNNNNNNNNNNNNNNNNNNNNNNNNNNNNNNNNNNNNNNNNNNNNNNNNNNNNNNNNNNNNNNNNNNNNNNNNNNNNNNNNNNNNNNNNNNNNNNNNNNNNNNNNNNNNNNNNNNNNNNNNNNNNNNNNNNNNNNNNNNNNNNNNNNNNNNNNNNNNNNNNNNNNNNNNNNNNNNNNNNNNNNNNNNNNNNNNNNNNNNNNNNNNNNNNNNNNNNNNNNNNNNNNNNNNNNNNNNNNNNNNNNNNNNNNNNNNNNNNNNNNNNNNNNNNNNNNNNNNNNNNNNNNNNNNNNNNNNNNNNNNNNNNNNNNNNNNNNNNNNNNNNNNNNNNNNNNNNNNNNNNNNNNNNNNNNNNNNNNNNNNNNNNNNNNNNNNNNNNNNNNNNNNNNNNNNNNNNNNNNNNNNNNNNNNNNNNNNNNNNNNNNNNNNNNNNNNNNNNNNNNNNNGCCACCGGCGACCUGCCUCGGAUCCGAGCUCCGGCGAACUCCUCCCGGCCAUCCUCGUCGCGCGAGCCCGAUGAACAGUGUCGGAUGAACAGUGCAUGAACAGUGAUUCCAGAUCUAGAUCCGGUUGACUUCUCUCCCCCGAACCCUAAUUUUUUAUGCCUACUUUGACCUGCCGUAACUUUGCAUCCAUAGCUCCGAUUUGGGCAUAUAGUAUAUCAAAAUGUUCGUCUCAACGAGUACAUCAUUUCAUUCCAUUGCAUCAUUUUCAUUUGAGUUCAUCUUGAUGCCCGAAAUGCUGUUAGAAGGAGGCUUCGUGAGUUAAUUGUCAGAUCUGCUAGUUCAUCUUAGACUUUUGUCAUUUUUGCCAUGAUUGUUGUGUGCAUGCUAUGCCUGUGAGUCCUUCAUAUGUUUUGUUAACGAUUUUGUCUUCUUUCCAGAGGUGCAACCCAUGCAUUUUUAGGAUGUGUGUGGUGACUUGUGCAAGCUUGCAAAGUGAGGCACCCGGUAAAUCUGUUUUCAGGGACUUAGUAGUUUUCACUAAGUCUGGGAUUAUUUAGUUCGUGAUGCCAUAUGUUCAGCUUGUUUCCUAGUGAUCCGUGCCUCUUUUGAGGAUGAUCAGUAAAGGAGUUUUGUUAAUCAUGUUAUGCUCUAUCCAUCCAUGUCUUUAUUUGCAAUUUUGGAGCACCCUAGCUUGAGUCAAUCGAGCUCUAUUUUUGGUUCGUUGUGAAUCUGGGCAGAUCGUCAACUUGUGUGCGAUUUUGCCGAUGUUAUUGUAGUUGAUUCGUGCAUGCUAUGCUAUUGUUCUUGCCACGUCUAGCUAGAAUUUUGUGCCUUCUUAAUUGAUGUAUGCUUGCCUUGCCAUGACUUGCACCGUAGUGAGUGCAUCGAGCUCGUUUACAUGCCUUCGUGAGCUAUAUUUCAGCAUGUCUCAGUUUUCACUAAGUCUAAAAACUGAUUGUGUUUUAGCUAUGUUCGUGGGCUUGUUAGUAUAUUUUAUGAACCCUUUUGGCCCCAGGUCACUUUGGGUCUUUUGUUAAGCUUGUUGAGUAGCUCCAUGCCAUGUUCUUACUUGUCUUAAUAAGGUCAUGUAUCAUGUUGUUUUGCUGCUCCGAAGAGGGCUUCACGAUCUGAAAUUUCAGACAAGUGUUAAUUUCACUAAGUCUGGAAUCUGUUUUGCAUUUGCGUUUUUGCCAUACUUGUUUGAACCUCAUAAUGGAUGAAUUGGCCGUGGCUCAGUGCUAGUCUUUUGAUAAGCAUCUUAUGUGCAUCCCUGCCAUGUAUUUUGUUGUCAUGUUUGGGUGCUGUAGCAUGUUCAUUUCGUUGCAUUUAGAUGCCUACUUGCUGUAAAUUACAGAUCGGUGUCAUUUUUAAAACGCUUGCCAUUUCCACACCGUAACUCCGAUUCCAAUGAUCUUUAUAUCGUUUUCAAGCGGUUUCAUCUCUUCUUUCCAGUGGCACCCUUGGAAUUCCAUGUUGAGGCCAGGUUCAUACAUUUCCUGUCAUAUCUUGCAUUUUGCAUCCCGCAUCGCAUCCCGCAUAGCAUAUCAUCAUUGCAUCAUAUCGCUUGAUCCUUACACGUGGUUGAUUGUGUCCUUGUUGCUUGUUUGUCUUGUUUGGGUAGAGCCGGGAGACGAGUUCGCUACCGAGGAGCCCGUUGAGUUUGCUUGUGAGGAUCCAGUCAACUCUGACAACUGUGCAGGCAAGAUGAUCAUACCCUCGAAAUCACUACUAUCUUUGCUAUGCUAGUUUGCUCGCUCUUUUGCUAUGCCAUUGCUACGAUGCCUACCACUUGCUUGCAAGCCUCCCAAGUUGCCAUGUCAAACCUCUCACCCACCAUUGUCCUAGCAAACCGUUGAUUGGCUAUGUUACCGCUUUGCUCAGCCCCUCUUAUAGCGUUGCUAGUUGCAGGUGAAGAUCGGAGGUCGUUCCUUGUUGGAACAUCUUUUAUUUACUUGUUGGGAUAUCAUUAUAUUAUCUUUCUAUCUUAAUGCAUCUAUAUACUUGGUAAAGGGUGGAAGGCUCGGCCUCUCGCCUAGUGUUUUGUUCCACUCUUGCCGCCCUAGUUUCCGUCAUAUCGGUGUUAUGUUCCCGGAUUUUGCGUUCCUCACGCGGUUGGGUUAUAAUGAGAACCCCUUGAUAGUUCGCCUUGAUUAAAGCUUUUCUAGCAAUGCCCAACCUUGGUCUUACCAUUUGCCACCUAGCCUCUUUUCCCUCGGGUUUCCGGAGCCCGCGGGUCAUCUUAUUUAAACCCCCCCCCCCGGGCCAGUGCUCCUCUGAGUGUUGGUCCGAACUAGAGUCCUGUGCAGCGCCCCCUCGGGGAAACUCGAGGUUUGGUUUUAGCUAUAUGGAGCGCUCAUCUGAGUGUGCCCUGAGAAAGAGAUAUGUGCAGCUCCUAUCGGGAUUUGUCGGCACAUUCGGGCGGUGUUGCUGGUCUUGUUUUAACCUGUCGAAGUGUCUUGAAUUACUGAGAUACCGAGUCUGAUCGGAACGUCUUGGGAGGAGGUCUAUUCCUUCGUUGACCGUGAGAGCUUGUCAUGGGCUAAGUUGGGACUCCCCUGCAGGGAUUGAACUUUCGAAAGCCGUGCCCGCGGUUAUGGAAAGAUGGGAAUUUGUUAAUGUCCGGUUGUAGAUAACUUGAACCUUAAUUAAUUAAAAUGAAUCAACUGAGUGUGUUACCGUGAUGGCCUCUUCUCGGCGGAGUCCGGGAAGUGGACACGGUGUUGGAGUAAUGUUUGCGCAGGUUGUUCCUCUAGUUUCUCGCUCGCGCUUUGCCUCCUCUUCUCGCUCUCUUUUGCGAAUAAGUUAGCCACCACAUAUGCUAGUCGCUUGCUGCAGCUCCACUUAUAUUCGCCUUACCCCUUUCUAUAAGCUUAAAUAGUCUUGAUCGCGAGGGUGCGGGAUUGCUGAGUCCUUGUGGCUCACAGAUACUAUAACUCCAGAUGCAGGUCCAGGUGUUUCCGCUCCAGGUGACGAGUACGAGCUCAAGUGGGAGUUCGACGAAGACUCUCAAUGAUACUACGUUUCCUUUCCCGAUGAUCAGUAGUGGUGCCCAGUUGGGGGUGAUUGGGACCGUCGUCGCAUGCUGGUUUUUUUUUCUAUUUUGGCGCCGUAGUCGGGCCAUGAGUGUUUUGGAUGAUGUAAUGUUAUUUAUGUACUUUGAUGUGACGUGGCGAGUGUAAGCCAACUAUGUUCUUCCCUUUAUUAUUCAUAUUACAUGGGAUGUUGUGAAGAUUGCCUAACUUACGACAUAUGCCUUCAAUGUGAUUAUGUCUCUAAGUCGUGCCUCGACACGUGGGAGCUAUAGUCGCAUCGAGGGUGUUACAUUAAAGCUUCUGUUAAAUUAAUUAUUCCAUCAGUAUAAAUUCAUCUUAUAUCUGGGAUCUGACCUUUUGCAAUCAUGGUUCCGACCAUGUUCUCCUUUAAAUACCAUUUCCUAUGCAAGUUUAAGCACUUGUCUUCUGCAUAGCAAUACCCCAGCACAACCCUACUUUGAUCUGUUGUCGAGUAUUACCCCCUGGUAUCUCGAGAUUAUUACGGAACUACAUAACCUCUUAUGAGUUCUUCAUCAAGUACUACAUCCUCACUGAUCCCAAUUUUCACGGGCUCCGAGAUUUUAAACAUUCAAGGACACCGAUAACUGAAACGAGCCCGCAUUACAGUUCAACAACCCUAAGUAAUCUCCUUUACUUAUGAGUUUGUACCCGAUCAUGUCAUUCCUAGCCUUCUUGGCUAUAUCUUUAUCGUGAUGAUUUUAACUGUGCUACUUGGUCCUCCUUUCCGGAGCACAAUUUUCGAUGAUGAGCUAACCUUACGUCGAUCUCCCUCCUCAUAUAAUUUCUCUAUAAAAACAAUAAGCUUGAUUUUGAGUUUGUAUCGUAUCCAUGGCUCCAAUAAUCUUUUGUUGCAUCAGUCCUUUUGCUUGAUGCAGUCGCUAUUCAAUUGCUUCUUCGUGGAUCCUCUCAACAACAAAUUGUCGUGAUCAUCAUCAACAUUUUGACUCCUUCCAGGACAUCAAUUGAAUUCAUGAUGAGAAAUACCAUCCUUGCGCUCGAUGAUUUCUGUUGUCAUCGACAACUUUAUUGCCUUCCCUGUUUGUGUUCUGUGUUAUACCUUGAGUUCCUUUCUAUCCAUCAUUUGUUCUUCUUUACCUUGGAGUAUUACCAUAUUUUAUGUCAAGAAUGUCAUGAGGAUUACUCCACCUCUUAUGAAUUCUUGGUAUAGUGAUACUUCUCACCAUCACCAUUCUUUCUUAGUCCUCGUGUUGAUUCAAUCGGUGUUGUUUGGAUUCUGCCGUGCUAGCAACCAUAGUGCUUUGAAGUUAAUGGUCGGCCAUUCAUUCUUAGACCAUUGAUUAUUGAAUCACCAUUCUGACAUUGGUCAUGCAACCCAACCCAUAUUUCGGGUGCAACUUUCAACCAAUGUUUAAGUGUGUGUGUUUUUCCUCGAGCAUACAUCAUUAUACCAUUUUGAUUUGACAAAUGUUAUCUCCUUGUUCACAUAAUUGUGGAAAUCAUCUUUUGUUAAUCUCGAUGAAUUGUUGCUGAGUCCAUCAGCCACCUCCUCAACCUCUCCUUGAUUUAAUGAUGUACUCUUGUUUCGGGACUCGCUUCCAUAGUUCAUUUCUCGAGAAUCUUACAAUGUCACCUCAUCAAUUGUGUUGCACCUCUUCUACUCAGGCAUCCCGAGUCUGAGGUAUCUUGACACCAAUCAGAUCUGAAUCUCGGUCAGAUAUGAUGGUUCGAACAUAUGUCCAAUAGUUAUAACAUUGAUCUUAUAUGCCCGGUAAGGUGAUGUCAUGCCUAGCACACCUAGCCGGAGGACCGAUUGCUUUAGUAUCUUUUAUAGCAAGGUUAACCAUUCUUCCAUAAGGAAAUUGUAAGACUUAGUCUAUAAGUUGUUUCUGAUGGAUCCUUUGUGAAUACAAAGUCUGACCUUUGCUUGCAAUCCAUGUCAUGGCUAUCCCGAAGCAUGCCGUGGUACUUAGAACAUCCUUAAGAACAAUUGAAGCACAAUGCUAAAUUUUCAUAUCAAUUAUUCAAACACCGCUGUAUGGGUAACGUCAUGAAAUUCCUCUCCCCUUACCUAAAUGGUUUUCUACCUUCUAUCCGGUCUUGGAUAUCAUGCUCUGCUUGUCCUUGGGAAGGAUAUCCCCCUAGAAUAUGUGUUUUAACACAUUUUCCUUUUCAUUGUUCUGUUUAAUCUGAUAAUCAUAUUUUCCUUUCCAUUGGUUGGUUUAACCUUUUCUUGUGAUCUAUAUGAUCUAGGAAGUAAUAUUCUCCUGCUUAUGUAAACACCUCGUUGUACAAUUCUGUCAGCAAGACCCUGUUACUAUUGUUGAUGACAUUCCGGUAGCCACCGAUGGACGAGAACUUUGCCUAUUAGUCCGCCUCGUUCAACGAGCAGGAAAAUGAUUUUCUUUGUCCCUCGCCCUUGGUACCAAUGUUGUUGCCGACAUAAAUGACAGGCUAUCCUCUGACAUGCCUUGCUUACAUGAUCACGCAAGACAUCUCCGCCCUUCCAACUUUUAACCCACAUGGUGGGCCCAUAACCCACAGUUCCACAGUAUCGAAACUUAACUCUCAUGUACAACCCUAUUUCUAAAGUUAUUCCUCAUGCUUGGCUUCGUAUGAAAAUCCUGAGCCACCUUCCGAGAGACGAUCUAUUCUGGUAUCAGACGCAAUACUUAUUCUCGUUGCUCUAAACCACUUUUCACACUCCGUUCCACACAUUGGAUGAUUGUCUAUCCGCUUGAAACUUCUUAUGGUACCUUCUUACUUGGCUCUCGAUGUGUGUCGUUUGUUCAACUCGAGAGAUGCUCAUGUGUUCAUUCCCUGGGAUAACCCCAGAUGAUUUCCUCUUAUACCAUUCUAUCGUUGUAGGGCAGCCCCUUACCUAUUCGUAAGUACAAUAGAAUUUCCAAAGAAAGGAUGUUGGCUUCAUCAUGAUGACUUGAAGCAAAGAAAUGAAGACAACGAUGUAAGGGAUCGACCUCUUCGAGAGGCGGAACCAAGACCAAGAAGAUCCGUUAGAAUUUCGUAACCGAACCUUUCCCCCUUGUUCCACCUCUUAAAUCUCGGGACGAGAUUUCUUGUAGUGGAGGAGAAUUGUGACGCCCGAAUAAUUAAGCUAUAGUAACUCUCUAUUAAUGAUGCCACGUCACCAUUAUUUAUGUUGUUAAACUCGCGAUGAUUCAAACCCACUCGAUGUUCAAAUUUAAAAUGGAGUCAACUGGUAAAAGUUUUCAAAUGUUGAAGCUAAAAUGUUCAAGGUGUGGCAAAUAAUCCCGGAAUAUUUUUCAUGAUGAAACCCAUUUUUUAACUAUCUAAUUGCCCUAAACAAUUAAAACAGGGCCAAGAUAGUAAUUUAAAUGCUUUUCUAAAUUAUUUAAAUUUCCAAAACUUUCCAAUUGCCUCUCAAACUUUUUGUGGGAGUGCUAUAUAUUGCAAUGGUAAUAACGUGACCAGUUGAAUAUUUUACAAAAGCCAAAUAGUGGCUAAAAAAUACAAAACAGAAGAAAAGGUGAUAACAGAAAUGAAAACGAAUAAAAUCUAAAAGCUCCUGUGCACUUAAGCCCAUUAGGAAUAGUAGCAACCCAGCCCACCUCUAGUCUGCUUCAUCCUCACGUACAGUAGGCAGUGUGCGUGGCGCACAUCAACGCCACCAUGGCCGCCGUUGCCGCCGUGUCGGCCAUCCCAUGGUUCACCAUGGUAGAUAAGAACCCCCACGCUGCGGACAAACCCUAGCCCUCAGUCAUUUCCCCCCUUGCGUUGUUUCUUACUCCCUUGCAUAAAACCGAAACUUCAUCGUCGGGCCCUCGUCGAUUCCGCGGCCACUGUCCUCCCCGGCGCGCAGGAGGAUAUCUAGGAGCUUCACCACCAUCGUCGCUUCUGCCGCGCGGCGUCUGCUCGCCUGCUCCCGUGCGCUGCAUCAUCUUGUUGCUGCUGCUGCUCUUCUGCUCAUGCCGCUACUUGCUGCUCUUGCUCUCCUGCUACUCUGCGCUGCUGCUUGUCUAGCCGCUGCUCACGGCCGCUCCUAGCUGCUAUGCUGCGGUCGCUCACUACUACGGCUGGCCAGGUACAUGGCCGUGCGUGGUGUGUGCGUGCUGUGUGUGUUCAUGUUUGCCAUGGCCGAGCGCCCGUGCAAGUGUGGCGUGUGAUGUGUGUGCGUGAGUGUGUGUUCUGUAGGUGUGUGUGAUGUGUGUACAGCGUGUGUGUGGCCGUGUGUGGGGCUGCCCCAAACUAGUUUAGGUCUAAUUUAAUUAGAUAGAUUAGUUUUAGGAUUAUUUUUGCUGUUUAGCUAGUACUAGUAUUUAAUUAGUAGUAGUAGAUGACAUGUG